GGUUAAGCGACUAAGCGUACACGGUGGAUGCCCUGGCAGUCAGAGGCGAUGAAGGACGUGCUAAUCUGCGAUAAGCGCCGGUAAGGUGAUAUGAACCGUUAUAACCGGCGAUUUCCGAAUGGGGAAACCCAGUGUGAUUCGUCACACUAUCAUUAACUGAAUCCAUAGGUUAAUGAGGCGAACCGGGGGAACUGAAACAUCUAAGUACCCCGAGGAAAAGAAAUCAACCGAGAUUCCCCCAGUAGCGGCGAGCGAACGGGGAGGAGCCCAGAGCCUGAAUCAGCAUGUGUGUUAGUGGAAGCGUCUGGAAAGGCGCGCGAUACAGGGUGACAGCCCCGUACACAAAAGCGCAUGUGCUGUGAGCUCGAUGAGUAGGGCGGGACACGUGGUAUCCUGUCUGAAUAUGGGGGGACCAUCCUCCAAGGCUAAAUACUCCUGACUGACCGAUAGUGAACCAGUACCGUGAGGGAAAGGCGAAAAGAACCCCGGCGAGGGGAGUGAAAAAGAACCUGAAACCGUGUACGUACAAGCAGUGGGAGCACCCUUCGGGGUGUGACUGCGUACCUUUUGUAUAAUGGGUCAGCGACUUAUAUUCUGUAGCAAGGUUAACCGUAUAGGGGAGCCGGAGGGAAACCGAGUCUUAAUUGGGCGUUAAGUUGCAGGGUAUAGACCCGAAACCCGGUGAUCUAGCCAUGGGCAGGUUGAAGGUUGGGUAACACUAACUGGAGGACCGAACCGACUAAUGUUGAAAAAUUAGCGGAUGACCUGUGGCUGGGGGUGAAAGGCCAAUCAAACCGGGAGAUAGCUGGUUCUCCCCGAAAGCUAUUUAGGUAGCGCCUCGUGAAUUCAUCUCCGGGGGUAGAGCACUGUUUCGGCUAGGGGGCCAUCCCGGCUUACCAACCCGAUGCAAACUGCGAAUACCGGAGAAUGUUAUCACGGGAGACACACGGCGGGUGCUAACGUCCGUCGUGAAGAGGGAAACAACCCAGACCGCCAGCUAAGGUCCCAAAGUCAUGGUUAAGUGGGAAACGAUGUGGGAAGGCCCAGACAGCCAGGAUGUUGGCUUAGAAGCAGCCAUCAUUUAAAGAAAGCGUAAUAGCUCACUGGUCGAGUCGGCCUGCGCGGAAGAUGUAACGGGGCUAAACCAUGCACCGAAGCUGCGGCAGCGAACGUAUCACCCAAGACAACUUUACGGAGUUGACGAUUGACGGAGCGAAGCGACGUCAAAGCGUUCAUUAAAGUCGAGUUGGCUUAGGGAUACGUUCGUUGGGUAGGGGAGCGUUCUGUAAGCCUGUGAAGGUGUGUCGUGAGGCAUGCUGGAGGUAUCAGAAGUGCGAAUGCUGACAUAAGUAACGAUAAAGCGGGUGAAAAGCCCGCUCGCCGGAAGACCAAGGGUUCCUGUCCAACGUUAAUCGGGGCAGGGUGAGUCGACCCCUAAGGCGAGGCCGAAAGGCGUAGUCGAUGGGAAACGGGUUAAUAUUCCCGUACUUGGUGUUACUGCGAAGGGGGGACGGAGAAGGCUAUGUUGGCCGGGCGACGGUUGUCCCGGUUUAAGGGUGUAGGUGUGUGUUCCAGGUAAAUCCGGUUCACUUUAACACUGAGGCGUGACGACGAGGCACUACGGUGCUGAAGCAACAAAUGCCCUGCUUCCAGGAAAAGCCUCUAAGCAUCAGGUAACAUCAAAUCGUACCCCAAACCGACACAGGUGGUCAGGUAGAGAAUACCAAGGCGCUUGAGAGAACUCGGGUGAAGGAACUAGGCAAAAUGGUGCCGUAACUUCGGGAGAAGGCACGCUGACACGUAGGUGAAGUGAUUUACUCAUGGAGCUGAAGUCAGUCGAAGAUACCAGCUGGCUGCAACUGUUUAUUAAAAACACAGCACUGUGCAAACACGAAAGUGGACGUAUACGGUGUGACGCCUGCCCGGUGCCGGAAGGUUAAUUGAUGGGGUCAGCGUAAGCGAAGCUCCUGAUCGAAGCCCCGGUAAACGGCGGCCGUAACUAUAACGGUCCUAAGGUAGCGAAAUUCCUUGUCGGGUAAGUUCCGACCUGCACGAAUGGCGUAAUGAUGGCCAGGCUGUCUCCACCCGAGACUCAGUGAAAUUGAACUCGCUGUGAAGAUGCAGUGUACCCGCGGCAAGACGGAAAGACCCCGUGAACCUUUACUAUAGCUUGACACUGAACAUUGAGCCUUGAUGUGUAGGAUAGGUGGGAGGCUUUGAAGUGUGGACGCCAGUCUGCAUGGAGCCGACCUUGAAAUACCACCCUUUAAUGUUUGAUGUUCUAACGUGGACCCGUAAUCCGGGUUGCGGACAGUGUCUGGUGGGUAGUUUGACUGGGGCGGUCUCCUCCUAAAGAGUAACGGAGGAGCACGAAGGUUGGCUAAUCCUGGUCGGACAUCAGGAGGUUAGUGCAAUGGCAUAAGCCAGCUUGACUGCGAGCGUGACGGCGCGAGCAGGUGCGAAAGCAGGUCAUAGUGAUCCGGUGGUUCUGAAUGGAAGGGCCAUCGCUCAACGGAUAAAAGGUACUCCGGGGAUAACAGGCUGAUACCGCCCAAGAGUUCAUAUCGACGGCGGUGUUUGGCACCUCGAUGUCGGCUCAUCACAUCCUGGGGCUGAAGUAGGUCCCAAGGGUAUGGCUGUUCGCCAUUUAAAGUGGUACGCGAGCUGGGUUUAGAACGUCGUGAGACAGUUCGGUCCCUAUCUGCCGUGGGCGCUGGAGAACUGAGGGGGGCUGCUCCUAGUACGAGAGGACCGGAGUGGACGCAUCACUGGUGUUCGGGUUGUCAUGCCAAUGGCACUGCCCGGUAGCUAAAUGCGGAAGAGAUAAGUGCUGAAAGCAUCUAAGCACGAAACUUGCCCCGAGAUGAGUUCUCCCUGAGACUUAGAGUCUCCUGAAGGAACGUUGAAGACGACGACGUUGAUAGGCCGGGUGUGUAAGCGCAGCGAUGCGUUGAGCUAACCGGUACUAAUGAACCGUGAGGCUUAACCUUACA
rnacentral:rRNA from 1 species